GGAAGCCACGAUGUCAGCUGUCUGUUCCCUUUGUCAUCACUGCUAGACACUAUUUGCUGAUUUAUUUGUUCAAUGCUGGUCUCCCACACUAGACCAUGAGCAGGAAGGAGAGGCAGCAUGCAACUGUGCUCGUUGUCUACACAGGGCCUAGCACUGGGCCUGGGCCAGGGCAGGCACCUGGGAGGGCCUUGGUUUCUGAGGCUGAGAGAGGAUAAGCUAAGCAAGGGGCAGAACAGGACACCAACCAUCUCCAGACCCCAGUACAACACAGAUGGCAGGCCAAAGAGGGACUGUGUCGUCUGAUUCAAGAGUACAGACUACACAGCCAGAAUAAUCGGGGCCUGGCUUGGACUCUCUUUAAAUAUUCAUUCCUCAUCUGUAAAAUGAGCAUAUGAGUCCCACUUCACCAGACUGUAGGACAUACGUGAAGGACUCUGC
rnacentral:lncRNA from 10 species